rnacentral:rRNA from 2 species
AGCAGCCGCGGUAAUUCCAGCUCCAAUAGCGUAUAUUAAAGUUGUUGUGGUUAAAAAAGCUCGUAGUAGAACCUUGGGCCUGGCUGGCCGGUCCGCCUCACCGCGUGCACUGGUCCGGCCGGGCCUUUCCCCCUGUGGAACCUCAUGCCCUUCACUGGGUGUGUGGGAAAACAGGACUUUUACUUUGAAAAAAUUAGAGUGCUCCAGGCAGGCCUAUGCUCGAAUACAUUAGCAUGGAAUAAUAGAAUAGGACGUGUGGUUCUAUUUUGUUGGUUUCUAGGACCGCCGUAAUGAUUAAUAGGGACAGUCGGGGGCAUCAGUAUUCAAUUGUCAGAGGUGAAAUUCUUGGAUUUAUUGAAGACUAACUACUGCGAAAGCAUUUGCCAAGGAUGUUUUCAUUUAUCAGGAACGAAAGUUAGGGGAUCGAAGACGAUCAGAUACCGUCGUAGUCUUAACCAUAAACUAUGCCGACUAGGGAUCGGACGAUGUUAUUUUUUGACUCGUUCGGCACCUUACGAGAAAUCAAAGUGCU